rnacentral:rRNA from 1 species
CCUACGGGUGGCUGCAGUAAGGAAUAUUGGUCAAUGGACGGAAGUCUGAACCAGCCAUCCCGCGUGCAGGAAGAAGGUCCUAUGGAUUGUAAACUGCUUUUAGCAGAGACGAAACGCCUUCAUUUAUGGGGGUUUGACGGUAUCUGCGGAAUAAGCACCGGCUAACUCCGUGCCAGCAGCCGUGGUAAUACGGAGGGUGCAGGAAUCAUCCGGUAUCACUGGGUUUAAGGGGUGCGUAUAAGGCAGUUUGGAAAGCCUGUAGCUUAACUACAGAAUUGCCAUUGAUACUGAUUUUCUUGAAUUGGGUUGAGGUUAGCGGAAUGUGACAUGUAACGGUGAAAUGUUUAGAUAUGUCAUGGAACACCGAUUGCGAAGGCAGCUAGCUGGGCCUUGAUUGACGCUGAGGCACGAAAGCGUGGGUAGCGAACAGGAUUAGAUACCCCGGUAGUC